rnacentral:rRNA from 1 species
UGAGUCCGAGUCUCCACGGAGACGAAGUGGCGGUCAUUAAGCUUCCUAGAAAAGCUCUAACCACGUUAAUCUUUAGUUGCCUGUACCCGAAACCGACACAGGUAGGGGGGUAGAGAAUACCAAGGGGCGCGAGAUAACUCUCUCUAAGGAACUCGGCAAAAUGACCCCGUAACUUCGGGAGAAGGGGUACCACUGAGAAGUGGUCGCAGUGAAGAGGCCCAGGCGACUGUUUACCAAAAACACAGGUCUCCGCCAAGUCGCAAGACGAAGUAUGGGGGCUGACGCCUGCCCAGUGCCGGAAGGUUAAGGAAGUUGGUCAGGGAUUCGUCCUGAAGCUAACGACCGAAGCCCCGGUGAACGGCGGCCGUAACUAUAACGGUCCUAAGGUAGCGAAAUUCCUUGUCGGGUAAGUUCCGACCCGCACGAAAGGCGUAACGAUCUGGGCACUGUCUCGGAGAGAGACUCGGCGAAAUAGGAAUGUCUGUGAAGAUACGGACUACCCGCACCUGGACAGAAAGACCCUAUGAAGCUUUACUGUAGCUUGGAAUUGGGUUCGGGCUUGGUUUGCGCAGGAUAGGUGGGAGGCGAAGAAGGUUUGCUUGUGGGUGAACCUGAGCCAACGGUGAGAUACCACUCUAACCAGGCUAGAAUUCUAACUCUAACCCGUCAACCGGGGAGAGGACAGUUUCAGGUGGGCAGUUUGACUGGGGCGGUCGCCUCCUAAAAGAUAACGGAGGCGCACAAAGGUUCCCUCAGGCUGGUUGGAAAUCAGCCAACGAGUGCAAAGGCAGAAGGGAGCUUGACUGCGAGACUUACAAGUCAAGCAGGGUGGAAACACGGUCUUAGUGAUCCGACGGCACCGCGUGGAAGGGCCGUCGCUCAACGGAUAAAAGUUACUCUAGGAUAACAGGCUGAUCUCCCCCAAGAGUUCACAUCGACGGGGAGGUUUGGCACCUCGAUGUCGGCUCAUCGCAACCUGGGGCGGAAGUACGUCCCAAGGGUUGGGCUGUUCGCCCAUUAAAGCGGUACGUGAGCUGGGUUCAGAACGUCGUGAGACAGUUCGGUCCAUAUCCGGUGUAGGCGCAAGAACAUUGAGAGGAGUCUUCCUUAGUACGAGAGGACCGGGAAGAACGCACCGCUGGUGUACCUGUUAUCGUGCCAACGGUAAACGCAGGGUAGCCAAGUGUGGAGUGGAUAACCGCUGAAAGCAUCUAAGUGGGAAGCCCACCUCAAGAUGAGUGUUCUCAUGGAGUCAUCCAGUAAGGUCACGGGAAGACGACCCGUUAAUAGGCAGUAGGUGGAAGUUCAGCAAUGGAUGAAGCCGAGCUGUACUAACAGACCGAGGGCUUGACCG